rnacentral:rRNA from 1 species
CCUACGGGAGGCUGCAGUGGGGAAUCUUGCGCAAUGCGCGAAAGCGUGACGCAGCAACACCGCGUGAGGGAAGACGGCCUUCGGGUUGUAAACCUCUUUCAGGAGGGACGAAGGGCGACCGGUGAACAGCCGUGUCGUCUGACGGUACCUCCAGAAGAAGCACCGGCUAACUACGUGCCAGCAGCCGCGGUAAUACGUAGGGUGCAAGCGUUGUCCGGAAUCAUUGGGCGUAAAGCGCGCGUAGGCGGCCCGAUAAGUCCGCUGUAAAAGUCAACGGCUCAACUGUUGAAAGCCGGUGGAUACUGUCGGGCUAGAGUACGGAAGAGGCAAGUGGAAUUCCUGGUGUAGCGGUGGAAUGCGCAGAUAUCAGGAGGAACACCUAUAGCGAAGGCAGCUUGCUGGGACGUUACUGACGCUAAGGCGCGAAAGCGUGGGGAGCGAACAGGAUUAGAUACCCCAGUAGUC